GCCUACGGGAGGCAGCAGUGAGGAAUAUUGGUCAAUGGCCGGAAGGCUGAACCAGCCAAGUCGCGUGAGGGAAUAAGGCCCUAUGGGUCGUAAACCUCUUUUGUCAGGGAGCAAAGGCGUCCAUGAGUGGACGAAAGGAGAGUACCUGAAGAAAAAGCAUCGGCUAACUACGUGCCAGCAGCCGCGGUAAUACGUAGGGGGCAAGCGUUAUCCGGAUUUACUGGGUGUAAAGGGAGCGUAGACGGCUGUGCAAGUCUGAAGUGAAAUGCCGGGGCCCAACCCCGGAACUGCUUUGGAAACUGUAC
rnacentral:rRNA from 1 species